rnacentral:rRNA from 1 species
GCUUACACAUGCAAGUCGAACGGACCCUUUUGGGUUAGUGGCGGACGGGUGAGUAAAGCGUAAGAAUCUGCCCUUAGGACGGGGACAACAGUUGGAAACGACUGCUAAUACCGGAUAUGCCGAGAGGUGAAACAUUAUAUGGCCUGAGGAGGAGCUUGCGUCAGAUUAGCUAGUUGGUGUGGUAAAGGCAUACCAAGGCGACGAUCUGUAGCUGGUCUGAGAGGAUGAUCAGCCACACUGGGACUGAGACACGGCCCAGACUCCUACGGGAGGCAGCAGUGGGGAAUUUUCCGCAAUGGGGGCAACCCUGACGGAGCAACGCCGCGUGUGGGAGGAAGGUUUUAGGACUGUAAACCACUUUUCUCAGGGAAGAAUUAUUGACGGUACCUGAGGAAUAAGCAUCGGCUAAUUCCGUGCCAGCAGCCGCGGUAAUACGGGAGAUGCAAGCGUUAUCCGGAAUUAUUGGGCGUAAAGCGUCCGUAGGCGGCUUAUCAAGUCUGUUGUCAAAGGCCGGGGCUCAACUCCGGAGUUGCAGUAGAAACUGAUAGGCUAGAGUACGUUAGGGGUAGGGGGAAUUCCCAGUGUAGCGGUGAAAUGCGUAGAUAUUGGGAAGAACACCAGUGGCGAAAGCGCCCUACUGGGUCGUAACUGACGCUGAUGGACGAAAGCUAGGGGAGCGAAAGGGAUUAGAUACCCCCUGUAGUCCUAGCCGUAAACGAUGGACACUAGGUGUUGUCUGUAUCGACCCGGACAGUGCCGUAGCCAACGCGUUAAGUGUCCCGCCUGGGGAGUACGCACGCAAGUGUGAAACUCAAAGGAAUUGACGG